GCAGAUAGAAGAAUCUUCUAAACCUGUAAGACUAUCACAGCAAUUGGACAAAGCUGUAACAACCAAUUAUAAACCUGUGGCUAAUCAUCAGUAUAAUAUUGAGUAUGAAAAAAAGAAAAAAGAAGAUGGAAAACGAGCUCGGGCUGAUAAGCAGCAAGUGUUGGACAUGCUUUUUUCUGCCUUUGAAAAACACCAGUAUUACAACAUUAAGGACUUGGUGGACAUAACCAAACAACCUGUGAUAUACUUGAAAGAAAUUUUAAGAGAAAUAGGCAUCUACAAUGUUAAGGGGACCCACAAAAACACAUGGGAGCUGAAGCCAGAAUACAGACAUUAUCAAGGAGAAGAGAAGAGUGAUUAAUGCAACUGUUAAUGAAGCAAACUCAGAGGCUAUAGAAUAAUGGGACUGUGCUGAGGGAACACUGCAGUUAAACAGACUGUACUGAGCACAAUUCAGUACCAAGAGAUCUUAAAAAGAGUAAUACUUUGUAAUUUGCCUGGCUUCAUUUUUAAAAACAAAUUUCUUGGACGUUUCUAUACAUUUGUCUUGUUUUUGACAAAAAAAAUUACAGAAUAAACUUGUAUUAGAUUUAUCUUUAUUA